AGUGGCGAACGGGUGAGUAACAUAUCGGAACGUACCGGGCAGUGGGGGAUAACUAAUCGAAAGAUUGGCUAAUACCGCAUAUCUUCUGAGGAAGAAAGCAGGGGACCAUUUGGCCUUGCGCUGUUUGAGCGGCCGAUAUCUGAUUAGCUAGUUGGUGGGGUAAAGGCCUACCAAGGCGACGAUCAGUAGCGGGUCUGAGAGGAUGAUCCGCCACACUGGGACUGAGACACGGCCCAGACUCCUGCGGGAGGCAGCAGUGGGGAAUUUUGGACAAUGGGCGCAAGCCUGAUCCAGCCAUGCCGCGUGUCUGAAGAAGGCCUUCGGGUUGUAAAGGACUUUUGUCAGGGAAGAAAAGGGCGGGGUUAAUACCCCUGUCUGAUGACGGUACCUGAAGAAUAAGCACCGGCUAACUACGUGCCAGCAGCCGCGGUAAUACGUAGGGUGCGAGCGUUAAUCGGAAUUACUGGGCGUAAAGCGGGCGCAGACGGUUACUUAAGCAGGAUGUGAAAUCCCCGGGCUCAACCUGGGAACUGCGUUCUGAACUGGGUGACUAGAGUGUGUCAGAGGGAGGUAGAAUUCCACGUGUAGCGGUGAAAUGCGUAGAGAUGUGGAGGAAUACCGAUGGCGAAGGCAGCCUCCUGGGAUAACACUGA
rnacentral:rRNA from 1 species